rnacentral:rRNA from 1 species
GAUGAACGCUAGCGGCAGGCCUAACACAUGCAAGUCGAGGGGCAGCAUAAAAUAAACUUGUUUAUUUGGUGGCGACCGGCGCACGGGUGCGUAACGCGUAUGCAACCUACCUUAUACUGGGGAAUAGCCCGAAGAAAUUCGGAUUAAUGCCCCAUAGUACUGAGACCUCUCCUGAGGAUUCAGUUAAAGCUUUGGCGGUAUAAGAUGGGCAUGCGUCCAAUUAGCUAGAUGGUGAGGUAACGGCUCACCAUGGCGACGAUUGGUAGGGGGCCUGAGAGGGUGGUACCCCACACUGGUACUGAGACACGGACCAGACUCCUACGGGAGGCAGCAGUGAGGAAUAUUGGUCAAUGGGCGCAAGCCUGAACCAGCCAUGCCGCGUGAAGGAUGAAGGUUCUAUGGAUUGUAAACUUCUUUUAUUUGGGAAUAAACCUCUUUACGUGUAGAGAGCUGAAGGUACCAAAUGAAUAAGCACCGGCUAACUCCGUGCCAGCCGCCGCCGUAAUAC